CAUCUCGAGAGAGGUAAAUCAUAGCAGCCCUAGGAAAAGUGGUGGUGGAAUGAGUUGGGUUCCGGAGAUAACCUGGGUUGCCUUCCUCCUCGUAGCUUCGUUUGCUGGUCGUGAUUUGAAACCAAAGAAGUAAAUUUGACCGGAAGAAAAGAUGAAUCGCCGAUCGCAGUGGUUCAAUCGCUAGAGGAAUGACGAGCGGAUUGGGGCUGCAGGCGACUGAGCUUCGCCUGGGGUUGCCCGGCGCCGUAGUGGAAGGCGAGAGCGCGGAGAAGAGAAGAUACGAGGAAAUAAUCGACCUGAAACUUCAGAUCCAGACACCCGCCGAUGCGAAGGAAACGUAGGAAGCUGCCGAGCGUUGGGAACACUGCUCCAUGUGGCGGCGGCGUCGACACGGAAAAGCCGCCUGCUUCCAAGUGCAGGUUGUAAGUUGAUGACCAGUGAGGUCAUUCAGGAAGAACAUCUUUUCUCUUCACUCUGACAAGGGGAACAGCAACAUGAAGGAGGAUGGUGAAAAGUUAAGCAACCCAAUGGCCUCCUUCAUGAAGGUGAGGAUGGACAGUCCGCCAUACUUGCACAAGGUUGAUCCAAAGAUGUACAAGAGUUACCAAGAGCUCUCCAUGGCGUUGCAGAAGAUGUUUGGCUCCUUCACCAACACUGCUUGAAGAUAGUCCUGAAAAUGUGGGCGCAUUCAAAUUUUUAAUGUUUAAGCAAGAUUCAGCGAGUUAAUGUGCCUUCUCUCCCACAUAUCAGUAAACUGUGGCUGGCUUUCAGGGAAUGAGUGGGAGGGACUACAUAAAUGAGAGCAAGGAUGUUUGUCAACUCACGCAAGCGCUUGUGGAUCAUGAAAGGAUCAGAAGCCACAUGGACUCGGAGGAGGGUCCCAUCUGCAUUCCAUUCAACUUGGUGGUGGACCUCAGUGGCUGGAUGAACCCCACCACUUCAUGCAUGCAUCCACAUCCAGUUUUCAGAUUAGGAUGGUCAUCAGUCAGCUGUCUCAUUUAAUCAAUGCAGUAUAUCCACUACCAGUCUGUCAUCAGCCAAGAUUCUUCCUUUUUGGUCCCAUUAAUUGAUCAACUCUAUCUACUUUCAUUUUCUCUCUUGUUGCACUCUUCCAGUUAGCGCAGUUUGGAAUAGUAUUGUAAAUAAGUCAAGUCGCUUGUUUGAUAAAGUAACCAAGCUAAGUCGAGCUUAAAAUGAACUAAAUUUUUAAAAUGAUUAUUCAAGUUUGCCUUUGUUUUUUUA